UUAAGUGACUAAGCGUACACGGUGGAUGCCUUGGCAGUCAGAGGCGAUGAAAGACGUAGUAACUUGCGAUAAGCCCAGAUUAGGUAGUAACAACCAUUUGAGUCUGGGAUUUCUGAAUGGGGAAACCCACGUGCAUAAGCACGUAUCCUUACCUGAAUACAUAGGGUAAGGAGGCGUACCGGGGGAACUGAAACAUCUAAGUACCCCGAGGAAAAGAAAUCAACCGAGAUUCCGAAAGUAGCGGCGAGCGAAAUUGGACUAGCCCUUAAGCUUUACACGCGUUAGACGAACGGUCUGGAAAGUCCGACGAUACAGGGUGAUAGUCCCGUAGUUGACGACGUGUGUUCAGUGAAAUCGAGUAGGGCGGGACACGUGAUAUCCUGUCUGAAUAUGGGGGGACCAUCCUCCAAGGCUAAAUACUACUGACUGACCGAUAGUGAACCAGUACCGUGAGGGAAAGGCGAAAAGAACCCCUGUGAGGGGAGUGAAAUAGAACCUGAAACCGUGUACGUACAAGCAGUAGGAGCAGGCUUUGUCCUGUGACUGCGUACCUUUUGUAUAAUGGGUCAGCGACUUAUAUUCAGUGGCAAGGUUAACCAUCUAGGGGAGCCGUAGGGAAACCGAGUCUUAACUGGGCGUUCAGUCUCUGGAUAUAGACCCGAAACCAGGUGAUCUAGCCAUGGGCAGGUUGAAGGUUGAGUAACAUCAACUGGAGGACCGAACCGACUAAUGUUGAAAAAUUAGCGGAUGACUUGUGGCUAGGGGUGAAAGGCCAAUCAAACCUGGAGAUAGCUGGUUCUCCCCGAAAGCUAUUUAGGUAGCGCCUCGGACGAAUACUACUGGGGGUAGAGCACUGUUAAGGCUAGGGGGUCAUCCCGACUUACCAACCCUUUGCAAACUCCGAAUACCAGUAAGUACUAUCCGGGAGACACACGGCGGGUGCUAACGUCCGUCGUGGAGAGGGAAACAACCCAGACCGCCAGCUAAGGUCCCAAAUUACUACUAAGUGGGAAACGAUGUGGGAAGGCUCAGACAGCCAGGAUGUUGGCUUAGAAGCAGCCAUCAUUUAAAGAAAGCGUAAUAGCUCACUGGUCGAGUCGGCCUGCGCGGAAGAUGUAACGGGGCUAAGUAGUAAACCGAAGCUGCGGCAAUAUACUUUUGUAUAUUGGGUAGGGGAGCGUUCUGUAAGCGGUUGAAGGUGUGUGGUAACGCAUGCUGGACGUAUCAGAAGUGCGAAUGCUGACAUGAGUAACGAUAAAGGGGGUGAAAAACCUCCUCGCCGGAAGACCAAGGGUUCCUGUCCAACGUUAAUCGGGGCAGGGUAAGUCGACCCCUAAGGCGAGGCCGAAAGGCGUAGUCGAUGGGAAACGGGUUAAUAUUCCCGUACUUCUUACAAUUGCGAUGGGGGGACGGAGAAGGCUAGGUGGGCCUGGCGACGGUUGUCCAGGUUCAAGUGCGUAGGCUUAAGAGUUAGGUAAAUCCGGCUCUUUUUAAGGCUGAGACACGACGUCGAGCACCUACGGGUGUGAAGUCAUUGAUGCCAUGCUUCCAGGAAAAGCCUCUAAGCUUCAGAUUGUAAGGAAUCGUACCCCAAACCGACACAGGUGGUCGGGUAGAGAAUACCAAGGCGCUUGAGAGAACUCGGGUGAAGGAACUAGGCAAAAUGGUACCGUAACUUCGGGAGAAGGUACGCUCUUGAUGGUGAAGUCCCUCGCGGAUGGAGCUGACGAGAGUCGCAGAUACCAGGUGGCUGCAACUGUUUAUUAAAAACACAGCACUGUGCAAAAUCGUAAGAUGACGUAUACGGUGUGACGCCUGCCCGGUGCCGGAAGGUUAAUUGAUGGGGUUAGACUUCGGUCGAAGCUCUUGAUCGAAGCCCCGGUAAACGGCGGCCGUAACUAUAACGGUCCUAAGGUAGCGAAAUUCCUUGUCGGGUAAGUUCCGACCUGCACGAAUGGCGUAAUGAUGGCCACGCUGUCUCCACCCGAGACUCAGUGAAAUUGAAAUCGCUGUGAAGAUGCAGUGUACCCGCGGCUAGACGGAAAGACCCCGUGAACCUUUACUACAGCUUGGCACUGAACAUUGACCCUACAUGUGUAGGAUAGGUGGGAGGCUUUGAAGCACGUACGCCAGUAUGUGUGGAGCCGUCCUUGAAAUACCACCCUUGUAGUGUUGAUGUUCUAACGUCGACCCCUUAUCGGGGUUGCGGACAGUGCCUGGUGGGUAGUUUGACUGGGGCGGUCUCCUCCCAAAGAGUAACGGAGGAGCACGAAGGUGGGCUAAUCACGGUUGGACAUCGUGAGGUUAGUGCAAUGGCAUAAGCCCGCUUGACUGCGAGAAUGACAAUUCGAGCAGGUGCGAAAGCAGGUCAUAGUGAUCCGGUGGUUCUGAAUGGAAGGGCCAUCGCUCAACGGAUAAAAGGUACUCCGGGGAUAACAGGCUGAUACCGCCCAAGAGUUCAUAUCGACGGCGGUGUUUGGCACCUCGAUGUCGGCUCAUCACAUCCUGGGGCUGAAGUCGGUCCCAAGGGUAUGGCUGUUCGCCAUUUAAAGUGGUACGCGAGCUGGGUUUAGAACGUCGUGAGACAGUUCGGUCCCUAUCUGCCGUGGGCGUUGGAAGAUUGAAGGGGGCUGCUCCUAGUACGAGAGGACCGGAGUGGACGAACCUCUGGUGUUCGGGUUGUGUCGCCAGACGCAUUGCCCGGUAGCUAAGUUCGGAAUCGAUAACCGCUGAAAGCAUCUAAGCGGGAAGCGAGCCCUGAGAUGAGUCUUCCCUGAUACUUUAAGUAUCCUAAAGGGUUGUCGGAGACUACGACGUUGAUAGGUCAGGUGUGUAAGUGCUGUGAGGCAUUGAGCUAACUGAUACUAAUUGCCCGUGAGGCUUAACCAU
rnacentral:rRNA from 1 species